rnacentral:rRNA from 1 species
CCGCUCAGAGGUAAACGGGUGGAGUUGAACUGCGAACCCUGAGAAUUCAACUGGUGAGUGUGGUAUGAGCUUGGCAUGAAGGUUGGCUCUGCGGGUCUGCUUAGCUGCAGGUCUUCGCCUUUUGGUGGAGAUGCGCGAUACACUUGUCAAGUGGUGCGCGCUCGUUGAGUUUCUCGGACAUACUUGCCAGUGCACUUUCUCGGGGUGUUCACCACGACCGGCGCCGCUACUUGUCCAAUAUGGUUAAACCGGUCUUGCUUGGUCCCUGUGGCUUUGCUUGAUCGGGAUGGCAGGUAACUCGUUGACUUGUGUGUUGACCUCGGUUGGCAUGCGCUUGGUUUUCGAGUGUAAUCAGCUGACUGUAUUGGUGCUAUGUGGUGCGUCGGAGACGGCGGCUUGUGGUGUGUGCCUGCGUGCCUAUUUGCUGACGGAACCGGGUUUGGUUAUUAUGUUGCCUGUUUUGCAGGCCUGGUGAUGGCUCGGUUUCGCUUGGUGGAUGGGAGCGUGGGUGACACUUAUCAGGGCCUAUAGUCUGUGGUGUUGUGGUAGACUAUCCACCUGACCCGUCUUGAAACACGGACCAAGGAGAGUAACAUGUGCGCGAGUCAUGGGGUGUUACGAAACCCAAAGGCGAAGUGAAAGUAAAGACUUGACUUGUUCGAGUUGAGGUGAGAUCCUGUCGUUUCUCAUGCGCGGUACUUCCAAGCAUUCGAGCGAUGGGCGCAUCACCGGCCCGUCCCAUGGUGUGGUCACUGUCUUCGGAUUGGUGCGUCACCGGGGCGGAGCAUGAGCGCACAUGUUGAGACCCGAAAGAUGGUGAACUAUGCUUGCGCAGGUUGAAGCCAGAGGAAACUCUGGUGGAGGACCGUAGCGAUUCUGACGUGCAAAUCGAUCGUCAAACGUGAGUAUAG